rnacentral:lncRNA from 1 species
GCUAUAUACAGGGUGUACCAGUACAAAGUCAAUGUGGAGACUAUAUACAGGGGGUACCAUUACAGAGUCAAUGUGGAGGCUAUAUACAGGGUGUACCAGUACAGAGUCAUUGUGGAGGCUAUAUACAGGGGGUACCAGCACAGAGUCAAUGUGGAGGCUAUAUACAGGGGGUACCAGUACAGAGUCAAUGUGGAGGCUAUAUACAGGGGGUACCAGUACAGAGUCAACGUGGAGGCUAUAUACAGGGUGUUACGGUACAGAGUCAAGUGGAGGCUAUAUACAGGGUGUUACGGAACAGAGUCAAUGUGGAGGCUAUAUACAGGGGGUAACAGUACAGAGUCAAUGUGGAGGCUAUAUACAGGGUGUUACGGUACAGAGUCAAUGUGGAGGCUAUAUAAAGGGUGUUACGGUACAGAGUCAAUGCGGAGGCUAUAUACAGGGGGUACCAGUACAGAGUCAAUGUGGAGACUAUAUACAGG